UACAGAGGUCUCAAGCGUUGUUCGGAUUCAUUGGGCGUAAAGGGUGCGUAGGCGGCGCGGUAAGUCGGGUGUGAAAUCUCGGAGCUUAACUCCGAAACUGCAUUCGAUACUGCCGUGCUUGAGGACUGGAGAGGAGACUGGAAUUUACGGUGUAGCGGUGAAAUGCGUAGAUAUUGGGAAGAACACCGGUGGCGAAGGCGAUCAUCUGGACCACAACUGACGCUGAGGCGCGAAAGCGUGGGGAGCAAACAGG
rnacentral:rRNA from 1 species